GUUCAGACCACCUAGUGAGGAAGGAAGCUGGCCGGUAAGUGAGUUCCUGCUGAGAUCUAGGAUCAAGAGCUGAGCCAGAUUAUUUCCUACCGAAGCCGGUAUUCGACCAGUGAAUCGAUUACCGGAAAGAGCAAGCCGCUUCAGAUUGACUAAUUGUCCAAGAUUUUCAGGUAUGUCCCCUGUUAAGGCAUUUUCCUCCAGUACAAGUGUCUUAAGAUGUAUCAGUUGGCCAAAACUUGCUGGAAUUUGUCCAUUAAGGCCUUGAUUCGAUCGUA
rnacentral:misc_RNA from 1 species